GAUCCUAUGCUGCCUAGAAAAGCCCAGCAGCGAGUUGACAUGGUGCCCGUACCCCAAACCAACACAGGUGGACAGGUAGAGCAUACCAAGGCGAGUGGGAUAACUAUGGUUAAGGAACUCGGCAAAUUGCCUCCGUAACUUCGGGAGAAGGAGGACCCCAGUAGCGUGAUGAGACUUGCUCUCUGAGCGUGAAGGGGUGGCACAAAAUUGAGGGAAGCGACUGUUUACCAAAAACACAGCAGCGUGCUAAGCCGUAAGGCGCUGUAUACGCUGUGACUCCUGCCCCGUGCUGGAAGGUUACGGGGAUGGGUUAGUCCUUCGGGACGAAGCUCUGAACCUAAGCCCCAGUAAACGGCGGCCGUAACUAUAACGGUCCUAAGGUAGCGAAAUUCCUUGUCGGGUAAGUUCCGACCUGCACGAAUGGAGUAACGACUUCCCUACUGUCUCAACCAUAGACCCAGCGAAAUUGAAGUACGAGUAAAGAUGCUCGUUAGCUGCAGAAGGACGGAAAGACCCCGUGGACCUUUACUAUAACUUGAUGUUGUGUUUUGUCAUAUGUUGUGUAGGAUAGGUGGGAGACUUGGAAGCAUGGACGCUAGUCUGUGUGGAGUCAUCGUUGAAAUACCACCCUGCAUAUGGUGAGGCUCUAACCUAGACCCGUUAUCCGGGUUGGGGACAGCGUCAGGCGGGUAGUUUAACUGGGGCGGUUGCCUCCUAAAGAGUAACGGAGGCGCCCAAAGGUUCCCUCAGCCUGGUUGGCAAUCAGGCGUUGAGUGCAAUGGCAAAAGGGAGCUUGACUGCGAGACCUACAAGUCGAGCAGGAGCGAAAGCUGGGCAUAGUGAUCCGGCGGUUGCGUGUGGAAGCGCCGUCGCUCAACGGAUAAAAGGUACCCCGGGGAUAACAGGCUAAUCUUGCCCAAGCGUCCAUAGCGACGGCAAGGUUUGGCACCUCGAUGUCGGCUCAUCGCAUCCUGGGGCUGAAGCAGGUCCCAAGGGUUGGGCUGUUCGCCCAUUAAAGCGGUACGCGAGCUGGGUUCAGAACGUCGUGAGACAGUUCGGUCCCUAUCCUCUGCAGCCGGAGGUGAAUUGAGGAAAGCUGUCCCUAGUACGAGAGGACCGGGACGGACGCAGCUCUCGUGUGCCAGUUGUCCUGCCAAGGGCAUGGCUGGUUAGCGACCUGCGGAAAGGAUAACCGCUGAAAGCAUCUAAGCGGGAAGCCUCUUCCAAGAUGAAUUCACCCACAGGGUUAACCUGGUAAGGCCCGUGGUAGACCACCACGUUGAUAGGCCGGAAGUGUAAGCGUGGCAACACGUUCAGCUGACCGGUACUAAUCGGCCGAGGGCUUGAGUC
rnacentral:rRNA from 1 species